AAUGAACGCUGGCGGCAUGCCUAACACAUGCAAGUCGAACGACAGCGUGGGCUUCUGCCUCGCCUGGAGUUGUAAACGGGUGAGUAAUGCACCUGAACUUGCCCUAUCUUUGGGAAUGGGCUGGCUAAAGCCGAAUUAAUCUCGCAUCCGAACUUAUAUUGAAAGUGGUUGACCAAAAGUCCUAGCAGUUUUUGAUCAGCCUAAGAGGCAUUAGCUAGUAGGAUUGGUAACUGCUUAACAAGGCGACGAUCCGUAGCUGGUCUGAGAAGACGACCGGCCACACUGGGACUGAGACACGGCCCAGACUCCUACGGGAGGCAGCAGUGGGGAAUCUUGCGCAAUGGGGGAAAGCGUGAUCUAGCAAAGCCGCGUGAGGGAUGAAGGACUUCGGGUUGUAAAGCGCUGUUGUUCGGGAAGAAGUAAUGUGGGUUUACCCACGGGGGUGAUGACGGUACCGGAAGAAUAAGCACCGGCUAACUACGUG
rnacentral:rRNA from 1 species